AACGAACGCUGGCGGCAUGCCUAACACAUGCAAGUCGAACGAGACCUUCGGGUCUAGUGGCGCACUGGUGCGUAACGCGUGGGGACCUGCCCUUAGGUUCGGAAUAACUCCCCGAAAGGGGUGCUAAUACCGGAUAAUGUCUUCGGACCAAAGAUUUAUCGCCUUUGGGUGGGCCCGCGUUGGAUUAGCUAGUUGGUAGGCUAAAAGCCUACAAAGGCGACGAGCCAUAGCUGGUCUGAGAGGAUGAUCAGCCACACUGGGACGGAGACACGGCCGAGACUCCUACGCGAGGCAGCAGUGGGGAAUAUUGGAAAACCGGGGAAGGGAUGAUCCAGUAAGGCCGCGUGAGCGAUGAAGGCCUUAGGGUAGUAAAGUAAGUUUACCCGUGAUGAUAAUGACAUUACCGGGAGAAUAAGCUCCGGCUAACUCCGUG
rnacentral:rRNA from 1 species